rnacentral:sRNA from 1 species
CCGGUGUUUCCUGGCCUGGCUGCCAGCUCAGUGGCCCUGCCAUCCUCAGAGCUCCGCUAGAGUCGGGGGAGGCCCUGCUGACCCUGCUCUUGUCCCCAGAGGUGGCCGGCAGGUUCCUGGCGUCGGAGGCCAGCACGCACCUGCUGGUGUUCGGCAUGGAGCAGCGGCUGCCGCCCAACAGCGAGCUGGUGCAGGCCGUGCUGCGGCUCUUUCAGGAGCCGGUCCCCAAGGCCGCGCUGCACAGGCAUGGGCGGCUGUCCCCGCGCAGUGCCCAGGCCCGGGUGACCGUCGAGUGGCUGCGCGUCCGCGACGACGGCUCCAACCGCACCUCCCUCAUCGACUCCAGGCUGGUGUCCGUCCACGAGAGCGGCUGGAAGGCCUUCGACGUGACCGAGGCCGUGAACUUCUGGCAGCAGCUGAGCCGGCCCCGGCAGCCGCUGCUGCUACAGGUGUCGGUGCAGAGGGAGCAUCUGGGCCCGCUGGCGUCUGGCGCCCACAAGCUGGUCCGCUUUGCC